ACGCGGCUGGGGUACAGCGGAAUACCUCGCGAUCCUCGCCGGAUUGAUGGUGGUGUGGCGAGGCGCGCAGGCAGCGUUGGAGUUGCUGGUCGAGCA
rnacentral:tRNA from 1 species